CCUACGGGGGGCUGCAGUGGGGGAUAUUGCACAAUGGGGGAAACCCUGAUGCAGCGACGCCGCGUGUGGGAAGACGGUCCUCUGGAUUGUAAACCACUGUCCCCAGGGACGAAGAUGACGGUACCUGGGGAGGAAGCUCCGGCUAACUACGUGCCAGCAGCCGCGGUAAUACGUAGGGAGCGAGCGUUGUCCGGAAUUACUGGGUGUAAAGGGAGCGUAGGCGGGACUGCAAGUUGGGUGUCAAAUCUCCCGGCCCAACCGUUAGCCGCACGCACAACUGCAGUUCUUGAGUGAAGUAGGGGCAGGCGGAAUUCCGAGUGUAGCGGUGAAGUGCGUAGAUAUGAGGAGGAACACCAGUGGCGAAGGCGGCCUGCUGGGCUUUUACUGACGCUGGGGCUCGAAAGUGUGGGGAGCAAACAGGAUGAGAUACCCCGGGGU
rnacentral:rRNA from 1 species